rnacentral:rRNA from 1 species
GAUGAACGCUGGCGGCGUGCCUAAUACAUGCAAGUCGAGCGAACGGACGAGAAGCUUGCUUCUCUGAUGUUAGCGGAGGACGGGUGAGUAACACGUGGAUAACCUCCCUAUAAGACUGGGAUAACUUCGGGAAACCGGAGCUAAUACCGGAUAAUAUUUUGAACCGCAUGGUUCAAAAGUGAGAGACGGUCUUGCUGUCACUUCUCGAUGGAUCCGAGCUGCAUUAGCUAGUUGGUAAGGUCACGGCUCACCAAGGCAACUAUGCAUAUCCGACCGCAUAGGGUGGUCGGCCGCCCUGGAACUUGGACACGGUCCAUGCUCCUACGGGAGGCAGCAGUAGGCAAUCUUCCGCAAUGGUCGAAAGCCUGACGGAGCAGCGCCGCGUGUGUGAUGAAGGUCUUCGGUUCGUAAAACUCUGUUAUUAGGUAAAAACAUAUUUGUAAUUAACUGUGCCCAUCUUGACGGUACCUAAUCAGAAAGCCCCGGCUAACUACGUG